rnacentral:rRNA from 1 species
GAUGAACGCUGGCGGCAUGCCUAAUACAUGCAAGUCAAACGAGAGGAAGGAAAGCUUGCUUUCCUGAAUCUAGUGGCGAACGGGUGAGUAACACGUAGGUAACCUGCCCAUGUGCCCGGGAUAACUUCUGGAAACGGAUACUAAAACCGGAUAGGUAGCAGACAAGCAUUUGACUGCUAUUAAAGUGGCCUUGGCCAUGAACAUGGAUGGACCUGCGGUGCAUUAGCUAGUUGGUGAGGUAACGGCCCACCAAGGCGACGAUGCAUAGCCGGCCUGAGAGGGCGGACGGCCACAUUGGGACUGAGACACGGCCCAAACUCCUACGGGAGGCAGCAGUAGGGAAUUUUCGUCAAUGGGGGGAACCCUGAACGAGCAAUGCCGCGUGAGUGAGGAAGGUCUUCGGAUCGUAAAGCUCUGUUGUAAGAGAAAAACGGCACUCAUAGGGAAUGAUGAGUGAGUGAUGGUAUCUUACCAGAAAGUCACGGCUAACUACGUGCCAGCCGCCGCAGUAAAAC